AAAGUCGUAACAAGGUUUCCGUAGGUGAACCUGCGGAAGGAUCAUUAAAAGGUAUCUACCCUCCUCUGGUCGUAAAAAAGCCAAAGAGAGAGGUAGUCCCAGAUCAACCACUGUGCGCACAUAUUGAAGUUUUUUUUUGCUUUUGGUAGGCGUCGUUCAAAUUUUUGAACGAUUCUACCAUAAGUGAUGCCCAAUAUCAAUAUAAGCCUCAUUUUGUGACUGAAAUUUUUUAAAUAAAAAAAUACAACUUUCAACAACGGAUCUCUUGGCUCUC
rnacentral:misc_RNA from 1 species